UAAUGGUUAUGUAAAUGAUGGUGUUAAUUAUGGUGUUGAUGAGUGAGUGGAUGAUGUAAAAUGAUGGUGUAAAUGAUGGUGUUAAUAAAUAAAUAAUGGUGUAGAUGAUAAUGAUGGUGGUAAUGAUGGUGUAAAUGAGUAAAUGAUGGUGUGAGGUGAUGGUGUUAAUGAUGGUGUUAUUGAUGGUGGUAAUGAGUGAGUGAUGGUGGUAAUGAUGGUGGUAGUGAUGGUGUGGGUGAUGGGGGUUAAUGAUGGUGGUAGUGAUGGUGUUAAUGAGGUGAGUGAUGGUGUAAAUGGUGGUAGUGAUGGUGUUAAUGAUGGGUGUGGGGAUGGUGGUAGUGAUGUGGUAAUGAUGGUGGUAGUGAUGGUGUUAAUGAGUGAGUGAUGGUGUAAAUGAUGGUGGUAAUGAUGGUGGUAGUGAUGGUGGUAAUGAUGGUGUGAGUGAUGGUGUGAGUGAUGGUGUGGGUGAUGGUGUUAAUGAUGUGGUAGUGAUGGUGUUAAUGAGUGAGUGAUGGUGUAAAUGAUGGUGGUAAUGAUGGUGGUAGUGAUGGUGGUAAUGAUGGUGGUAGUGAUGGUGGUAGUGAUGGUGUAAAUGAUGGUGGUAAUGAUGGUGUGGGUGAUGGUGGUUAAUGAUGGUGGUAGUGAUGGUGGUAGUGAUGGUGGUAAUGAUGGUGGUAGUGAUGGUGGUAGUGAUGGUGUAAAUGAUGGUGGUAAUGAUGGUGGUAGUGAUGGUGGUAAUGAUGGUGGUAGUGAUGGUGUUAAUGAUGGUGUGGGUGAUGGUGGUAAUGAUGGUGGUAGUGAUGGUGGUAAUGAUGGUGGUAGUGAUGGUGUUAAUGAUGGUGUGGGUGAUGGUGGUAGUGAUGGUGGUAGUGAUGGUGGUAGUGAUGGUGGUAGUGAUGGUGGUAAUGAUGGUGGUAGUGAUGGUGUUAAUGAUGGUGUGGGUGAUGGUGGUAGUGAUGGUGGUAAUGAUGGUGGUAGUGAUGGUGGUAAUGAUGGUGGUAGUGAUGGUGGUAAUGAGUGAAUGAUGAUGACGUUGGAUUCGAUCGUAUCGUUACAGUUCUAUAUUUGAACCCAUGUGUUAAAUGAUGUAGUGGCAGAAAUGAGCCCGGGUUAUUCCACGAUACCGAGCGUCUGAACGCAGCCUCGCUCACAGUCAACAUCGUCUCAUUAAUCCCUGAUCGAAUGGAACUUCAGCAUGAAAUCGAACUCGCCGUCUCACACACACACUUCUGACUCAUCUUCCGACUCCAGGAUUAAACUCAUGGGCGUGCGUUAUUUUAAAGCGGUUCUGAACACGACGGAAAGUUCCGUCUCUGGACUAACGAGCAUGCGCUGCUAAUCUCCAUUAACACGAGCGUGAAGCGCGCGAGACGCUAACUCUGUCCUGUGACACAGAGCCAUGCUGAGGACAGGAGAUGCAUUAUGGGAGGUAAGGUCAACACACACAAGGCACUAAUACUCGGAGCGAUGGGAAAAAUACGCGGUGCGGGUUUCAGGAGGCUGAAGUGCACUCGGUGAAAGCAGAUCAGCUAAUUAAGCGUCCUAGAUGCACUUAGCAACCCUGCGUGGGUCUGAUUGACUCGGAUGAAGCCGCUCUCACACGCUGCCUCUCAGGACAUUGCAGGUAAUUAC
ensembl:lncRNA